UAGAGUAUUAUAAGAAGUUCUUUUCAAAGCUCUGUCAUGAUUUUCACAAACUCUGGGAAACUUCAAAGAUGGUGUCAACACUUCAGUUCCUUGGACUUCUGCUUUUCUGGAUUUCAGCCUCCAGAUGUGACAUAUUGAUGACUCAGACUCCACCCACUCUAUCUGUGUCUCCAGGAGAUAAAGUCUCUAUUACCUGCAGGGCCAGCCAGGGUAUUAGCAAUUACCUACAUUGGUAUCAACAAAAAUCACACGAGUCUCCAAGGCUUUUAAUCAAGUAUGCUUCCCAGUCCAUUUCUGGGAUCCCCUCCAGAUUUAGUGGAAGUGGAUCAGGGACAGAUUUCACUCUCAGUAUCAACAGUGUGGAGCCUGAAGAUGUUGGAACAUAUUACUGUCAACAAGGUAACAGCUGGCCUCCCACAGUGGUGCAGACCAUAGCAAAAACCUCCAAGAAAGCAGAAGUGUGA